UUGAGUGAUUGUUAAUGGUUAGUGGUUAUCUUUCAAAUGAUGCCUGUGAGGCACUUGACGUUGAGACUGGUUGACUUCCAGGCUGCUUUGGAAUAAGGAUACCUCUGAGGCAGCCACCAGUUUUUGGAUAACUCUGAGGCAUCAUAGGUAGUGUUGACUGCCAGGCUGCCUAGUCGUUGGUAUACAGGUUAACUCACAGGCAUCCAGUUGGUUUUAGAUACCUGUAAGGCAUCUAGACGGACAUUAAGAGGGGCUGACUCCCAGGCUGCUUCCUAACACUGGUUAGCUCUCAGGCAGCCAAUUAGCUUUGGAUGCCUGUGAGGCACUUGAUGUUGAGACUGGUUGACUGUAGACUGAUAUCCCUUAGUUAAAUUGUCCUCAUGCCUCCUCAUACAGAUAGGCCUAUUGAAUAAAUCUGCCAGAUUAUUUUUAACAUUGCAUAUGCCUAACAUUAUGUGAUAAUACUAAUCACACUCAUAUUGCCUUUCUCUUUCAGUUCAUGAAGAAAUGGCGCCCAGGAAGGUAGGAUGGAAGCGGAAGGCCCUGCAGGUGUCAAAAGGUGGACCAUCUGCAAAGAUCGCAAUUUUCCACCAGUCACCACUGGUUGGUGGAGCCUCC